UACGUAGGGGGGCUAGCGUUGUCCGGAUUUAUUGGGCGUAAAGAGCGUGUAGGCGGCCAGGUAGGUCUGCUGUGAAAACUCGAGGCUCAACCUCGAGACGUCGGCGGAAACCAUCUGGCUAGAGUCCGGAAGAGGAGAGUGGAAUUCCUGGUGUAGCGGUGAAAUGCGCAGAUAUCAGGAAGAACACCCGUGGCGAAGGCGGCUCUCUGGGACGGUACUGACGCUGAGACGCGAAAGCGUGGGGGAGC
rnacentral:rRNA from 1 species